rnacentral:lncRNA from 1 species
GUCACAGCCCGUCCCGGAAUUAUUAAUUCCGAGGACGUGAGAUGACCAAUGUGACCUUAAACGGGAUUAAGGUGUGUAAAUGUAUGACAUUUGUUUUACUUUAAGAUCCUAAACUAGGGUUAGAUUUAUAUUUGUAUGUGUUAAUUUGUGCUUGGACUUAGGUAGGACCUCCUACCCUGAAUUCCCUCCCUAAAACCCGUAACCUUUCUUCUCUCUUCUUCUUUCAUUCCAUACUCUCUCUCUCUCUUAUUCUUUUCUGAAAACUCUCUCAUUCUCUCUCUUACUCUCGAACUCACGGCAACCACCAAGAACCACCACAAUAUUGUACCAACGUUCCAUUUAAGACCACCAUCGUGAUCCUGGGGACUUCACGAGCACGGGGAUACCAAUUUCAGGUGAGUUUCACUUCGAAAACCCUAGUUCUAAAGUUGCCGUGAGAUGACACUGUUCAUGAGCUUUGAAUUGGUUACGUUUUAGGCUAAAACAAGAUCACAGCGAGUUUAGUAAGGUCCCAAGGAAGCUCGGAGUGCUUCGUUGGAAGUUUUUGGACGUAAGAACACGGAGAUCGACAAGUUCAAAGUUUGGCCGGAGCUUUCGAGGCGUUUUCCGGCGAAUCCCCGGCGAGUUAGGAGUCGAGGUAGGUAUCAAUCUCUUCGUCUCGUCAAGUAAUACAACUUUACUUUUUGUUUCACUCAAUUUCGUUGAGUAUUGAAGAAGUUAUACUCAUUUGAAAAAUACCCAGUUUCCGGCGACCUCCGAGGCUUUCGAGGCAGUUUCCGGCCAAACCACGGCGAACUAGGUGUUGUGCAAGGUACCAUUCUCUUUUU